GGCGUUGGCGGCGUGCUAUACAUGCAGUCGAACGCUUUUUCUUUCACCGGAGCUUGCUCCACCGAGAAGAAAAAGAGUGGCGAACGGGUGAGUAACACGUGGGUAACCUGCCCAUCAGAAGGGGAUAACACUUGGAAACAGGUGCUAAUACCGUAUAACACUAUUUUCCGCAUGGAAGAAAGUUGAAAGGCGCUUUUGCGUCACUGAUGGAUGGACCCGCGGUGCAUUAGCUAGUUGGUGAGGUAACGGCUCACCAAGGCAACGAUGCAUAGCCGACCUGAGAGGGUGAUCGGCCACACUGGGACUGAGACACGGCCCAGACUCCUACGGGAGGCAGCAGUAGGGAAUCUUCGGCAAUGGACGAAAGUCUGACCGAGCAACGCCGCGUGAGUGAAGAAGGUUUUCGGAUCGUAAAACUCUGUUGUUAGAGAAGAACAAGGAUGAGAGUAAAAUGUUCAUCCCUUGACGGUAUCUAACCAGAAAGCCACGGCUAACUACGUGCCAGCAGCCGCGGUAAUACGUAGGUGGCAAGCGUUGUCCGGAUUUAUUGGGCGUAAAGCGAGCGCAGGCGGUUUCUUAAGUCUGAUGUGAAAGCCCCCGGCUCAACCGGGGAGGGUCAUUGGAAACUGGGAGACUUGAGUGCAGAAGAGGAGAGUGGAAUUCCAUGUGUAGCGGUGAAAUGCGUAGAUAUAUGGAGGAACACCAGUGGCGAAGGCGGCUCUCUGGUCUGUAACUGACGCUGAGGCUCGAAAGCGUGGGGAGCGAACAGGAUUAGAUACCCUGGUAGUCCACGCCGUAAACGAUGAGUGCUAAGUGUUGGAGGGUUUCCGCCCUUCAGUGCUGCAGCAAACGCAUUAAGCACUCCGCCUGGGGAGUACGACCGCAAGGUUGAAACUCAAAGGAAUUGACGGGGGCCCGCACAAGCGGUGGAGCAUGUGGUUUAUUUCGAAGCAACGCGAAGAACCUUACCAGGUCUUGACAUCCUUUGACCACUCUAGAGAUAAAGCUUCCCCUUCGGGGGCAAAGUGACAGGUGGUGCAUGGUUGUCCUCAACUCCUGUCCUGAAAUGUUGGGUUAAUCCCCCCACCAACGCCACCCUUAUGUUAUUUGCCUUCUUUUAUUUGG
rnacentral:rRNA from 1 species